rnacentral:rRNA from 1 species
AACGCUGGCGGCGUGCUUAACACAUGCAAGUCGAACGAGAACGCCUCAGCUUGCUGAGGCAAGUAAAGUGGCGCACGGGUGAGUAACGCGUGGGUAAUCUACCUCCGAAUUGGGGAUAACAUUGCGAAAGCGGUGCUAAUACCGAAUAAUAUCCUCAAGACUCAGGUUUUGAGGACCAAAGGUGGCCUCUACAUGUAAGCUACUGUUUGGAGAUGAGCCCGCGUACCAUUAGCUUGUUGGUGGGGUAACGGCCUACCAAGGCUGCGAUGGUUAGCUGGUCUGAGAGGAUGAUCAGCCACACUGGAACUGACACACGGUCCAGACUCCUACGGAGGCAGCAGUGAGGAAUUUUGCGCAAUGGGGGAAACCCUGACGCAGCAACGCCGCGUGAGUGAUGAAGGCCUUCGGGUCGUAAAGCUCUGUCAAGUGGGAAGAAUCUGUCCGGUGAUAAUACCGCUGGGCAAUGACGGUACCGCUGAAGGAAGCACCGGCUAACUCCGUG